AUAUUGUAUCAUUUACCUUUUUAUUUUUAUAAAACCUAUUAUGUUACUAUAUAAAAAGGUUCACGAAUAAAUCCCUUUUAUUUAGGUUCAUAUUAGAGAGAAAUAUGAUAUUGAGUUUCUAUUUUCACUCUUUUAUUCCUUGUUUGACAAGAUUGUUGACAUGUAAUUAUGAAUUAUGAUGUUAUAUAUAGUUUUUCAUUCUUACAUUUUUUUUAUCUUUAUGGUUCAUGUUUUUUCAAUUUUUUUGGAGAUGUUACGUUAUGAUAAAACUAUAACAAUAUUUCAAGUUAUAUUGGAGGAAAAAAUUAUUCAUUUUUAAAAAGCUCUCAAUAACUUGCAAAACAAUCCUUAAUUUUUAUUCAUUAAAAAUAAUAUUAUUUUACCGAAACAGUUUUAACUUAUUUCAUUCAUCGAAAUAAUUUCAAUAUAGGAUGAGAUAUGAUUAAACUCCUGCCUACUAGAAAAAGAAAUGAUUAGUUGAUCAAUCAUACUUGGACUUAUGUAUAUAGAUACAUAUAAACAUUAAUUAACAAGAACAAAUAAUCAUAUGGUAAAUAAACUAAGCAUGAAGCCAAUUACCUGCAAGGAAAUUGGUCGACCCUUUGGCAUGUUGAACUUCUUAUUGGUUUUGUGAUUAUUAUUAUUAUUAUGAGUUGGUUGAAUAAACCAACGGUUUAUAAAGGAAGAAAUUUCAUAGCCAAAAGUUCUAUAUAAUAAAGAAGCCAUGAUUAAUGUAAACAAGGAAGGAAGAACAACUAAGGAAGAAAUCAGAAAUAGAAUAUAUUCCCUUUUGCCAUUUGUAUCUCAAGAAUGAUAAUAAUAUUUUCAUAUCAAUCUAUAGACUUAUAUAUACCAUUAAUUGGCAUAUGCUUACUUAAAAUAUAUAGUACAAAAUUAAAUUAUUAAAAAGCAUCAUAUUCUUUUAAUACAUAUAUAGUAGAUAUUUAUAUGAAACAUUUCACUCAAC
rnacentral:lncRNA from 1 species